UGAUUUCGAAUUUGAUGCAUGGAUUAUAUAUGUAUUUUUAGAAUAUUAUAUGAUUAUGAUUGAACGUAUUUGCUUCUGAUUUGAAUUGUGUUUAAUUGCUCUGACAUUGUACCUUUUGGCUUGGAACACUAAACAUAAUGUAAGAAAGGAUUAUGACUUGAAAUAGAUUCAGACUUGCAAUCGGGCUAUGUUGAGGACCCUACCAAUGGGGGCUAAUACAUUGGUACCGCAAGAUGAAUAGUCGGUGAUAUGACCCUACCACAGGGAACAUGUGGUCAUAGUUCCUGACUGUUGAGUUGAAUCCGAUAAAUUGAAAGAAAUUAAGAUAUGAACGACAUUUGGUUUUAACAUUGUAUGAUUUUUCUUAUAUAUAACUGAAAUAUGAAAUAGAGAACAAACUGAACU
rnacentral:lncRNA from 1 species